UACGAAGGGGCUAGCGUUGUUCGGAAUUACUGGGCGUAAAGGGCGCGUAGGCGGUACUUCAAGUCAGGCGUGAAAGCCCCGGGCUCAACCUGGGAAUGGCAUUUGGGACUGCAAGGCUUGAGUGCGGCAGAGGAGACUGGAAUUCCUGGUGUAGCAGUGAAAUGCGUAGAUAUCAGGAGGAAUACCGAUGGCGAAGGCAGGUCUCUGGGCUGACACUGACGCUCAUGCACGAAAGCGUGGGGAGCAAACAGG
rnacentral:rRNA from 1 species